rnacentral:ncRNA from 1 species
CCUCACGCUUAAGCCCGGCUUCGGGACCCCCCCACAGCACCCAAUGCACACCGCGGCUACCGCGGUGUGCAUAGUGACGAAAAAUAACAAUACAAGACUCUUUCGAGUCCCUGUAAUUUAAAUGAGUACACUUUAAAUCCUUUAACAAGGAUCAAUUGGAGGGCAAUUUUGGUGCCAGCAGCCGCGGUAAUUCCAGGUCCAAUAGCGUAUCUUAAAGUUGCUGCAGUUAAAAAGCUCAUAGUUGGAUCUCGGGAUUGAGCUGACAGUCUGCCGCGAGGUGAGCUACUGUCGGUCCCAGCCCCUGUCUCUCGGUGCCCCCUCGAUGCUCUUAGCUGAGUGUCCUGCGGGGUCUGAAGCGUUUACUUUGAAAAAAUUUGAGUGUUCAAAGCAGGCCCGGUUGCCUGAAUACCGCAGCUAGUAAUAAUGGAAUAGGACUGGCCAGGGGAGGUGCCGCUAGAGGUGAAAUUCUUGGACCAGCGCAAGACGGACGAAAGCAAAAGCAUUUGCCAAGAAUGUUUUCAUUAAUAAAGAAUGGAAGACGAUCAGAUACCGUUGUAGUUCCGACCAUAAACGAUGCCAACUAGCGAUCCGGCAGCGUUAUUCCCAUGAUCCGCCAGGCAGCAUCCAGGAAACCAAAGUCUUUGGGUUCCG